rnacentral:lncRNA from 1 species
ACAAAUAAUUCACAUCACGGAUGGACUGAUCCAAAAAUCCCUCUACUCUGUGCCCGGCCCUCGGUGGAGCUCCUCAGGACUUCUGUUACAUAUAUAAGCUCUGUGCCCGGCCCUCGGUGGGGCUCCUCAGGACUUCUAUUACAUAGCAUAAAAUCUAGAGGGCUAAUGGGUCGUCCUAUUGUCCAUCCACUCCCACAAUGAAUAAUGCAA